UACUUGAUUUUUUGGCGUGCUUUAACCUAGAAUAGCUGUCACUGUCAAAAUUUUGACUACAUAAAUAUAUAUGAGAAAUUAAUUAGUUGUACACCCGAAUUGUUUAGUUAAAAUAUUUAAAUAUUUCAGUUGAAAUAAAACUGAUAGAAGUUGAAGGCGAAUUGGUAAUUAGGAAAAUUUCCCAGUGAAGACUCCUGCAUCAGGGCUUCUAAAAACUUCCAAAAACCAAUAAAAUUCCUCACUCAAAAUGUUUGUGAGUUUGUGAGCGAUAGAGUCAGAUAGCUAAUGGAAGGCGAGAGGCCGACGAAGAAAUGAAGGCAAAAUUAAGAAAUAAACGAAUUGUUUUAUAAAACUAAUAGAAAAAGUGAAGUAACAAGUUUAGAUGAGCGAAAGUGUGAUGAAAGUAUCGUCAGCAAAGUGCAGCAAGGCAGAAAGGCGGAAAGGAGGGAACAUGAAGUGGGCAGGAAUUUACUGGAAAAUUAUGCGAGUGCAGAACGGAGAAGUGUGGAAAAAUUGCGAACCAAACAGCAAAAAAACAAAAACACAUAGCAACGGAAAGCGACGAGGUCAGCAAGAAGUUGUGCGAAAUGUGAAAUAUACCAUAAAACAAUUAAAGUGCCAGUGAGAAGAGCAUUGAACAAGCGCUGACAACCUGAGUGGGUGGACAAAAGUAAAGUCGUGGGUACGAGUAAGUAGAAAUUGCGAAGGGUGAAAACAAUUUGGGAAGCGUGAAGAGCAUGGAGUGGCCGUGCACAAGUUUGUUGGUAAGAGUGUGCACAAAAUGGUCUAGUUCAAAUGACAGUUAGUAUCUCAAGCUUUCCAAUUAUAAAUAUUAUUUUUCUCAAUUCUGUUUUGGCUGUUUGUGAUGUUAUUGAAAAAUUUCAUAAGGUUAUGUCAACUUUGGGACAAUAAAAGAAAA